GGGGAUGUGGCUCAGUGGUAGAGCAUUUGCCUAGUAUGCACAAGGCCUCAGGUUCAAUCCCCAACACUA
rnacentral:tRNA from 1 species